CUAUACAUGCAGUUGAGCGCUGAAGGUUGGUACUUGUACCGACUGGAUGAGCAGCGAACGGGUGAGUAACGCGUGGGGAAUCUGCCUUUGAGCGGGGGACAACAUUUGGAAACGAAUGCUAAUACCGCAUAAAAACUUUAAACACAAGUUUUAAGUUUGAAAGAUGCAAUUGCAUCACUCAAAGAUGAUCCCGCGUUGUAUUAGCUAGUUGGUGAGGUAAAGGCUCACCAAGGCGAUGAUACAUAGCCGACCUGAGAGGGUGAUCGGCCACAUUGGGACUGAGACACGGCCCAAACUCCUACGGGAGGCAGCAGUAGGGAAUCUUCGGCAAUGGACGAAAGUCUGACCGAGCAACGCCGCGUGAGUGAAGAAGGUUUUCGGAUCGUAAAACUCUGUUGGUAGAGAAGAACGUUGGUGAGAGUGGAAAGCUCAUCAAGUGACGGUAACUACCCAGAAAGGGACGGCUAACUACGUGCCAGCAGCCGCGGUAAUACGUAGGUCCCGAGCGUUGUCCGGAUUUAUUGGGCGUAAAGCGAGCGCAGGUGGUUUAUUAAGUCUGGUGUAAAAGGCAGUGGCUCAACCAUUGUAUGCAUUGGAAACUGGUAGACUUGAGUGCAGGAGAGGAGAGUGGAAUUCCAUGUGUAGCGGUGAAAUGCGUAGAUAUAUGGAGGAACACCGGUGGCGAAAGCGGCUCUCUGGCCUGUAACUGACACUGAGGCUCGAAAGCGUGGGGAGCAAACAGGAUUAGAUACCCUGGUAGUCCACGCCGUAAACGAUGAGUGCUAGAUGUAGGGAGCUAUAAGUUCUCUGUAUCGCAGCUAACGCAAUAAGCACUCCGCCUGGGGAGUACGACCGCAAGGUUGAAACUCAAAGGAAUUGACGGGGGCCCGCACAAGCGGUGGAGCAUGUGGUUUAAUUCGAAGCAACGCGAAGAACCUUACCAGGUCUUGACAUACUCGUGCUAUUCCCUAGAGAUAGGAAGUUCCUUCGGG
rnacentral:rRNA from 1 species